UGCAAAUACAAUAAAUAAAUACAGAAUCAGAAUGUAAACUGAAUGUGGCAAUCAACAUACAAAUUAGGAUCCAAGCCAUGCUAGUUAGUGCUUGAUUUUCUACCUCGGAUCACCUGCUUACUGAAGUUUUCUCCCUUCUCUUUAUCCGGCCCUGAUCUCUCCCACAUUGGAUAAAGGACAUCAGAUGAGAGAAGACAGAUAGCUUAAGAAUGCUGCUCAGCUUACACCAGAGGAGCAAUGACUGAUGUUCUCAGAAGAAGAAAAGAGACAGAGAAAGAAGGCAGCCAUGUGUUGACGAGGCAGAGACUACAGUGAGGCAGUCACAAUCCAAAGAAUGCUCGGGGCCACCAGAAGCUGAAAGAAGCAAGGAAAACUGACUGAGAAGGCCUGGGAAAGGAAAAAGAAAAGCUUGCUGUCUUUGCACCUGCUCUUAAAGGAGAAGUAGUCUUCAGGAGGAGAAGGUGGAGGUUGGAGGGGCUGAAGAGCAUACCUGGCCAGUGGAAAGGUGCUCGAGAUCCCGAUAAAGCAGAGAAUGGCCCAACCUCCGAGGAGCUCCUGGUGUGAGCGGACGGCGGUGCAGAUACCCGUGGAAAAGUCUGUAUCGCACCGGGCAUUCCCAGCACAUUAACUGCUUUAUUAAGUUAGCUUUUGACAAUCAAAAAAAAGAAGAAGGAAGGAGAGAAGGGAGGAAGGAAAGAGGGAAGGAAGAAGGAAGAAAAAUUCAUGGUGAUUUUUAAAUGUUUAUUGUUUAUAUUCUGCAACCAAACACCAAAAUUAAAAACUCUAAUUUAUUUGG